rnacentral:rRNA from 1 species
UGGGGAAUAUUGCACAAUGGAGGGAACUCUGAUGCAGCGACGCCGCGUGAACGAAGAAGGCUUUCGAGUCGUAAAGUUCUUUUAUACGGGAAGAUAAUGACGGUACCAUAAGAAAAAGCCCCGGCUAACUACGUGCCAGCAGCCGCGGUAAUACGUAGGGGGCUAGCGUUGUCCGGAUUUAUUGGGCGUAAAGCGAGCGCAGGCGGUUAGAAAAGUCUGAAGUGAAAGGCAGUGGCUCAACCAUUGUAGGCUUUGGAAACUGUUUAACUUGAGUGCAGAAGGGGAGAGUGGAAUUCCAUGUGUAGCGGUGAAAUGCGUAGAUAUAUGGAGGAACACCGGUGGCGAAAGCGGCUCUCUGGUCUGUAACUGACGCUGAGGCUCGAAAGCGUGGGGAGCGAACAGG